rnacentral:rRNA from 1 species
GACGAACGCUGGCGGCGUGCUUAACACAUGCAAGUCGAACGAAGUGGCGGACGGGUGAGUAACGCGUAAUUAACCUGCCCUUCCGAGGGGGACAACAGUUGGAAACGACUGCUAAUCCCGCAUACGGAUGGAGGGGAUUGCGUGUGAUUAGCUAGUUGGAGGGGUAACGGCCCACCAAGGCGAAGAUCAGUAGCCGGUUGGAUAGUAUGAACGGGCACAUCGGGACUGGGACACGGCCCCGACUCCUACGGGAGGCAGCAGGGGGGAAUUGUCCGCAAUGGAUGAAAGUCUUACGGAGCAAAGGCGGGUGAGGGAUGACGGCCUUCGGGUUGUAAAGCUCUUUUAAGCGGGACGCGGUACCGGAAUAGAAAGCCACGGCUAACUACGUGCCAGCAGCCGCGGUAAUAC